GAUGCCUCAUACGUCCCCAAGCGCGUCCCAGGCUGUGGGCCAGAUCCCGCUGCUGGUGACGCCUGGCCCCAAUCCAGCAUCACUCUGCUGAGGCUGAAUCCGGCCCCGGGCAACUGUCAGCAGUUUCCAAGAGGCCGAGUUUCUAGCAGGGCAGCUGUGAGAGGAGGAAACAAGCCAACGCCGAGUCUGUCCCGCCGUGGCUUCCCCUCUAUCUGCGUUCCCGUGGAAAUGUCAAGGGGCCGGGCAGGGAAUUCACUGGAUUUGCUGCAACUUGCCAGAGGUGCCUUUGUGAGCAGAAGGAAAGUCAACGUUCUCCCAAAAUCACGGGAAUCCGGGAGCUGGGGCUUUCAGAAAAAUGUCACAAGAAUGACGAUCAUUGUACAUCGACCACAGUGCCAUAAAAUGUGACCCGAGGGGCAUGAUUCUGAGUGGCCCUGGAUCCUGUGCUGAGGUUUUAUGAAAACAACAAAGAGUCUGGUGGCACCUUAAAGACUAACAGAUUUAUUUGGGCAUAAGCUUUCGUGAGUAAAAACCUCACUUCUUCGGAGGUUUUAUGAGUUAUUCAGGUAACGAUAUAUUUUCUAGUACAAGAGUUUUCCCUGUGAAGCAUCCCUUUAAAAGCAGAGGUGACUCCCAGCUGCUGCUUCAGGACUUGCCUGUACUAAGCAAAUUGGCAUUGGUAUAACUGUGUUGAAGUGGUAAGAUCAGACUAAAUGCCUCCAACAGAGGGGG